AUAGCGUAUAUUAAAGUUGUUGUGGUUAAAAAGCUCGUAGUUGAACCUCGGGCCUGGCUGGCCGGUCCGCCUCACCGCGUGCACUGGUCCGGCCGGGCCUUUCCUCCUGUGGAACCCCGGGUCCUUCACUGGGCUCGGCGGGAAAACAGGACAUUUACUUUGAAAAAAUUAGAGUGCUCCAGGCAGGCCUACGCUCGAAUACAUUAGCAUGGAAUAAUAAAAUAGGACGCGCCGUUCUAUUUUGUUGGUUUACGGACGGCCGUAAUGAUUAAUAGGGACAGUCGGGGGCAUCAGUAUUCAGUGGUCAGAGGUGAAAUUCUUGGAUCCACUGAAGACUAACUACUG
rnacentral:rRNA from 1 species